rnacentral:rRNA from 1 species
GACGAACGCUGGCGGCGUGCUUAACACAUGCAAGUCGAACGGAAAGGCCCUGCUUUUGUGGGGUGCUCGAGUGGCGAACGGGUGAGUAACACGUGAGUAACCUGCCCUUGACUUUGGGACAACUUCAGGAAACUGGGGCUAAUACCGGAUAGGAGCUCCUGCUGCAUGGUGGGGGUUGGAAAGUUUCGGCGGUUGGGGAUGGACUCGCGGCUUAUCAGCUUGUUGGUGGGGUAGUGGCUUACCAAGGCUUUGACGGGUAGCCGGCCUGAGGGGGUGACUGGCCACAUUGGGACUGAGAUACGGCCCAGACUCCUACGGGAGGCAGCAGUGGGGAAUAUUGCACAAUGGGCGGAAGCCUGAUGCAGCAACGCCGCGUGCGGGAUGACGGCCUUCGGGUUGUAAACCGCUUUCGCCUGUGACGAAGCGUGAGUGACGGUAAUGGGUAAAGAAGCACCGGCUAACUACGUGCCAGCAGCCGCGGUGAUACGUAGGGUGCGAGCGUUGUCCGGAUUUAUUGGGCGUAAAGGGCUCGUAGGUGGUUGAUCGCGUCGGAAGUGUAAUCUUGGGGCUUAACCCUGAGCGUGCUUUCGAUACGGGUUGACUUGAGGAAGGUAGGGGAGAAUGGAAUUCCUGGUGGAGCGGUGGAAUGCGCAGAUAUCAGGAGGAACACCAGUGGCGAAGGCGGUUCUCUGGGCCUUUCCUGACGCUGAGGAGCGAAAGCGUGGGGAGCGAACAGGCUUAGAUACCCUGGUAGUCCACGCUGUAAACGGUGGGUACUAGGUGUGGGGUCCAUUCCACGGGUUCCGUGCCGUAGCUAACGCUUUAAGUACCCCGCCUGGGGAGUACGGCCGCAAGGCUAAAACUCAAAGGAAUUGACGGGGCCCCGCACAAGCGGCGGAGCAUGCGGAUUAAUUCGAUGCAACGCGUAGAACCUUACCUGGGUUUGACAUGGAUCGGGAGCGCUCAGAGAUGGGUGUGCCUCUUUUGGGGUCGGUUCACAGGUGGUGCAUGGCUGUCGUCAGCUCGUGUCGUGAGAUGUUGGGUUAAGUCCCGCAACGAGCGCAACCCUUGUUCACUGUUGCCAGCACGUUAUGGUGGGGACUCAGUGGAGACCGCCGGGGUCAACUCGGAGGAAGGUGGGGAUGACGUCAAGUCAUCAUGCCCCUUAUGUCCAGGGCUUCACGCAUGCUACAAUGGCUGGUACAGAGAGUGGCGAGCCUGUGAGGGUGAGCGAAUCUCGGAAAGCCGGUCUCAGUUCGGAUUGGGGUCUGCAACUCGACCUCAUGAAGUCGGAGUCGCUAGUAAUCGCAGAUCAGCAACGCUGCGGUGAAUACGUUCCCGGG